CCCUAAAGGUAAAUCGAACAAUUUAGCUGCUUAAUAUACAUUUGUUGCACAUGCGCACUUGGUGCUGGGACAACAUGUCGCUGGAUCAACUACCAAACAGUGUGUGGACUGAAUUAAUGGACAAAAUGAGCGCGACGCACCCGUACCGGAAGCUGUCCCAGCUGUGACCUGAGCGGUUUUCUAAUCAGGAAAAUGGACUAGGAGCUGGAGACUGGAGUCAUGUUUACCCUGAAGGCGCUGAAGAAGAACAAGACAGUGAGAUAUGGAGUCCCGAUGCUCUUGCUGGUAGUCGGAGGAUCCUUCGGCCUGAAAGAGUUCACACAGAUUCGCUACGACGCUCAGAAGAUCAGGAAAAAGGUUUGUAGAGAAUCAAAUCUCA